rnacentral:rRNA from 1 species
AACGAACGCUGGCGGCAGGCUUAACACAUGCAAGUCGAACGCUCCGCAAGGAGAGUGGCAGACGGGUGAGUAACGCGUGGGAACCUUCCUAUUGGUUUGGAAUAGCUCAGGGAAACUUGGGGUAAUACCGGAUAAGCCCUACGGGGGAAAGAUUUAUCGCCAAUAGAUGGGCCCGCGUCUGAUUAGCUAGUUGGUGAGGU